GACGAACGCUGGCGGCGUGCUUAGCACAUGCCAGGCGAACAGAAGGGCCCUGCGUUUGUGGGGUUCUCGAGUGGCGAACGGGUGAGUAACACGUGAGUAACCUGCCCUGGACUUUGGGAUAACGUCAUGGAACUGGGGCUGAUCCCGGAUAGGAGCUCCUGCUGCGUGGUGGUGGUUGGAAAGUGUCGGCGGUUGGGGAUGUACUCGCGGCUGAUCAGCUUGGUGGUUGAGUAGUGGCUUACCAAGGCUUUGACGGGUAGCCGGCCUGAGAGUCUGACCGGCCACACCGGGAGUGAGAUACGGCCACGCCUCCUACGGGAGCAAGUAGUGGGGAAUAUUGCCCACUGCGCGGACGCCUGAUGUAGCACCGCCGGGUGAGGGAUGACGGCCACAGGGCCGCAAACCGCUUUCGCAUGCGCCGAAGCGCGAGCGACGGCAACGGGUAAAGACGCACCGGCUAAAUACGUG
rnacentral:rRNA from 1 species